UACGGAGGGGGCAAGCGUUAUUCGGAAUUAUUGGGCGUAAAGGGCGCGUAGGCGGCUAGAUGUGUCAAAGGUGAAAUCCCUCGGCUCAACUGAGGAACUGCCUUUGAAACUGUCUGGCUUGAGGCCGGGAGAGGGUAGCGGAAUUCCCAGUGUAGCGGUGAAAUGCGUAGAUAUUGGGAGGAACACCAGUGGCGAAGGCGGCUACCUGGACCAGUUCUGACGCUGAGGCGCGAAAGCGUGGGUAGCAAACAGG
rnacentral:rRNA from 1 species